CAAGUGAAGCCAUUACUAGAAUUCAAAUAAGAGGAUUCCAGCCCACCAAUAUCUUUCGUCACAUAUCAUGUCAAUUCGAUUGAAUCGUGAGUUAUUGUCAAUUAUAAUAUUUGUUUAUGGUGAUCUUUUUCAUCAGCGUCAUCUCCGGUUCUCGACCGAUAAAUCUACUCCUGAUCAAUGCAUGGUUUGCAGAAAUCAUUUGGGUAUUUGAUUCGGGGAUCAAUAGACAAAUAUUUUUGAUCGAAGGAAUUGGCCUCUAUGAUGACUUCUU